UGGGGAAUAUUGGACAAUGGGCGAAAGCCUGAUCCAGCCAUGCCGCGUGUGUGAAGAAGGUCUUCGGAUUGUAAAGCACUUUAAGUUGGGAGGAAGGGCAGUAAGCGAAUACCUUGCUGUUUUGACGUUACCGACAGAAUAAGCACCGGCUAACUCUGUGCCAGCAGCCGCGGUAAUACAGAGGGUGCAAGCGUUCAUCGGAAUUACUGGGCGUAAAGCGCGCGUAGGUGGUUCGUUAAGUUGAAUGUGAAAGCCCCGGGCUCAACCUGGGAACUGCAGCCGAAACUGGCGAGCUAGAGUAGGGCAGAGGGUGGUGGAAUUUCCUGUGUAGAGGUGAAAUGCGUAGAUAUAGGAAGGAACACCAGUGGCGAAGGCGACCACCUGGGCUCAUACUGACACUGAGGUGCGAAAGCGUGGGGAGCAAACAGG
rnacentral:rRNA from 1 species